rnacentral:rRNA from 1 species
UACGAAGGGGGCUAGCGUUGCUCGGAAUCACUGGGCGUAAAGCGCACGUAGGCGGAUUGUUAAGUCAGGGGUGAAAUCCUGGAGCUCAACUCCAGAACUGCCUUUGAUACUGGCGAUCUUGAGUCCGGGAGAGGUGAGUGGAACUGCGAGUGUAGAGGUGAAAUUCGUAGAUAUUCGCAAGAACACCAAGUGGCGAAGGCGGUUCUCUGGGACGGUACUGACGCUGAGACGCGAAAGCGUGGGGAGCGAACAGG